rnacentral:rRNA from 1 species
GACGAACGCUGGCGGCGUGCUUAACACAUGCAAGUCGAGCGGUAAGGCCCUUUCGGGGGUACACGAGCGGCGAACGGGUGAGUAACACGUGGGUGACCUGCCCUCAGCUCUGGGAUAAGCCUGGGAAACCGGGUCUAAUACCGGAUAUGACUCCAUGACGCAUGUUGUGGGGUGGAAAGCCUUGUGCGGCUGAGGAUGGGCCCGCGGCCUAUCAGCUUGUUGGUGGGGUGAUGGCCUACCAAGGCGACGACGGGUAGCCGGCCUGAGAGGGCGGACGGCCACACUGGGACUGAGACACGGCCCAGACUCCUACGGGAGGCAGCAGUGGGGAAUUUUCGCAAUGGGCGAAAGCCUGACGAAGCAACGCCGCGUGGAGGAUGAAGGCC